UGCGGAAGGAUCAUUAUUGAAUUUAAACAAAGGGUAUUUAGGUUGUAGCUGGCUCCAUUAGUUUGGAGCAUGUGCACACCUUUUGCUCUUUUUUUAAUCCACACACACCUGUGAACCUGUGAGGCAGAGACAUGGAUGGGAGAACUUUUAUUUACUUUAAAAUGAAUGAUUGGGACCCCUACCCCCCCCUCUGUCUACUCAACUCUAAUAUAAACCCAAUUUAUUUUAAAAUGAAUGUAAUGGAUGUAACGCAUCUAAUACUAAGUUUCAACAACGGAUCUCUU
rnacentral:rRNA from 1 species